rnacentral:rRNA from 1 species
CCCUAGUAUUAUGCAUAUAUAUAAAUUAGUAAUGAUUGAAAUUUAAAAUUUUUGGCGGUUAAUUUGUAUUUAGAGGAGCUUGUAAAUUAGAAUUAACUCUUUAUAUUUUAUUUAAUGAAAGUUUAUUUAUUUCCGUUAUAAGAUGAAAAUUUUAAAAUUUUAAAGUUGUAUUUCAGGUCAAGAUGUAGCUGAUUAAAAAUAUUAUUAGCUACAAUUUAUAAAAAUUAAUGGAUUAAAUAAUGGAAUUUAUUUAUGAAAAUGAAUUUAGUUGUAAUGAAAUUUAUUAUGAUUUUAUGAAAAUUUUAAAGUUAAUGAA